rnacentral:rRNA from 1 species
GCUUACGGCCAUACCACCUUGAAUGCCCCGAUCUUGUCUGAUCUCGGAAGCUAAGCAGGGUCAGGCCUGGUUGGUACUUGGAUGGGAGACCGCCUGGGAAUACCAGGUGCUGAUGCU